UGAACAUAGCUUGUCUCUAAAUGGUAGAAUAGAAACGAACAGUCAUGAUGACAUAGCUUGACUCUAAAUGGUAGAAUAGAAACGAACAUAGCUUGUCUCUAAAUGGUAGAAUAGAAAUGAACAUAGCUGUCUCUCUGACAUGAUAGGAAAACCCAGUUAAACUGAACAAGAUGUGAUUUUUUUUCCCUGAAACGUUGCUCUUCGGGGGACUAAACAACAGAAUCUGCCCUAAACACAACCAAGUAGUUUAGUUUAAGAAGCCGUGGCAGCAGGGUAGCCUAGUGGUUAGAGUGUAGAGGCGGCAGGGUAGCCUAGUGGUUAGAGUGUAGAGGCGGCAGGGUAGCCUAGUGGUUAGAGUGUAGAGGCGGCAGGGUAGCCUAGUGGUUAGAGUGUAGAGGCGGCAGGGUAGCCUAGUGGUUAGAGUGUAGAGGCGGCAGGGUAGCCUAGUGGUUAGAGUGUAGAGGCGGCAGGGUAGCCUAGUGGUUAGAGUGUAGAGGCGGAAGGGUAGCCUAGUGGUUAGAGUGUAGAGGCGGCAGGGUAGCCUAGUGGUUAGAGUGUAGAGGCGGCAGGGUAGCCUAGUGGUUAGAGUGUAGAGGCGGCAGGGUAGCCUAGUGGUUAGAGUGGAGGGGCGGCAGGGUAGCCUAGUGGUUAGAGUGUAGAGGCGGCAGGGUAGCCUAGUGGUUAGAGUGUAGAGGCGGCAGGGUAGCCUAGUGGUUAGAGUGUAGAGGCGGCAGGGUAGCCUAGUGGUUAGAGUGUAGAGGCGGAAGGGUAGCCUAGUGGUUAGAGUGUAGAGGCGGCAGGGUAGCCUAGUGGUUAGAGUGUAGAGGUGGCAGGGUAGCCUAGUGGUUAGAGCGUAGAGGUGGCAGGGUAGCCUAGUGGUUAGAGUGUAGAGGCGGCAGGGUAGCCUAGUGGUUAGAGUGUAGAGGCGGCAGGGUAGCCUAGUGGUUAGAGUGUAGAGGCGGCAGGGUAGCCUAGUGGUUAGAGCGUUGGUGGUUAAGAGCGUUGGACUCGUAACCGAUAGUUUGCAGGUUCAAAUCCCCGAGCUGACAAGGUACAAAUCUGUCGUUCUGCCCCUGAACAAGGCAGUUAAUAAAUUCUGAUAUAAUUCUGCCAGGAAGGUAAGAGGCCACUUUGUAGUUCACAUUUAAUUGAGAAGUUUUUUUUUUUUUUGUGAAAGCAUUUCCAUCUACCAGAAGACUGUUGUCAGCAUCAUUGCUAACGGCUACACUUAGUGGUAGACAAAGGCGCACACAGACAGGGGCAUUCCUGUGCCGUUGCCUCAAAAUACUAAAAAUAAAAUUUAAAUAAUAAUAAUCACUGAGUACGGUUACACAAUACAAUUAUUGUGCAUCGUCAGGUUAAUAUAAUAGUUAUUAUUGUGCAUAGUCAGUCAGGUUAAUAUAAUAGUUAUUAUUGUGCAUAGUCAGGUUAAUAUAAUAGUUAUUAUUGUGCAUCGUCAGUCAGGUUAAUAUAAUAGUUAUUAUUGUGCAUAGUCAGGUUAAUAUAAUAGUUAUUAUUGUGCAUAGUCAGUCAGGUUAAUAUAAUAGUUAUUAUUGUGCAUCGUCAGUCAGGUUAAUAUAAUAGUUAUUAUUGUGCAUAGUCAGGUUAAUAUAAUA